UAAAUUUAUUUUAGGGAGUAUGCAAUAAGUGUAGUUUAACGCGGAGAACUGUUUCUUCAAGGGGCUGGGAUGUUCCUGUCAGGGUGUGUGAUGAUUGCCUAAUGACUCCAGAAACAGAAUAGCUGACAUCAUGAAAAGUUUACAAGUUGUUCUUCUAACGAUACAUUAUACAUAUUUCUCACAAAUUUCCUAUUUUACACAAAUCUUGUUAAAUCUUAAAAAAUAGUUUCCUUUAAAAAAGAAAUUAGGAAAAAAUAGUUCAUUCCAUUUAUUCAAAAUCUUUCUGAAUAUAUUUCCUCUUUAAACUAU